AAACAAAAUGUUAAAAGAAAACUGCUGCAACUCCUCAAAGCAGUUGUCAGACGACAAUUCUUCCAAGUCUCCGUCUGAAGAAGAAACAAAAAGUCUUCAGUUAAAAAAAAAUCAAGAAAGUUGCAUCUUUAUGCAAUAAAUUAAUAAAUCUUACCACACUGAGCAGAAUUAUGUUCCAUAAUGAUACAGAUACACCUUUUCCCAUUUCAUCCUUGAAAAAAAUAAAAACAAAAAGACAAUAAACAAAACAUAUUUCCACUAACAAGCAUCAUCAAAAAACGUAGUUAUUCAGAAAACCGAGAGUCACCACUGAACCAUCUGCCGGUAAUUCCAGCUAUAUUCAGUUUAGCUUCAUCACAAUAAUUCUUUACAGAAACAUGUAGUUAAGUCAGAAGUUUACCUCUUGACUCAUCUUGAAGCAUCACAGGGAACAGCUAGAUCUGCAGGGACACUGUUAAAAAAA